rnacentral:rRNA from 1 species
AGUGAACGCUGGCGGUAGGCCUAACACAUGCAAGUCGAACGGCAGCACAGUAGGAGCUUGCUCUUACGGGUGGCGAGUGGCGGACGAGUGAGGAAUACAUCGGAAUCUACUUUUUCGUGGGGGAUAACGUAGGGAAACUUACGCUAAUACCGCAUACGACCUACGGGUGAAAGCAGUGGAUCUUCGGACCUUGCGCGAUUGAAUGAGCCGAUGUCGGAUUAGCUAGUUGGCGGGGUAAAGGCCCACCAAGGCGACGAUCCGUAGCUGGUCUGAGAGGAUGAUCAGAAACACUGGAAGUGAGAAACGGACAAGACUACUACGGGAGGAAGCAGUGGGGAAUAUUGGACAAUGGGCGCAAGCCUGAUACAGCAAUACCGCGUGGGUGAAGAAGGACUUCGGGUUGUAAAGCCCUUUUGUUGGGAAAGAAAAGCAGCAGGUUAAUACCCCGCUGUUCUGACGGUACCAAAAGAAUAAGCACCGGCUAACUUCGUG